AAUGCUAUAGCUCAAAGGUUAGAGCAACAGCAAUGUAUGCUGGAGAUGGAGGUUCGAUUCCUUCUGGUGUUU
rnacentral:tRNA from 1 species